rnacentral:rRNA from 1 species
AUUGAACGCUGGCGGCAUGCUUUACACAUGCAAGUCGAACGGUAACAGGUUAAGCUGACGAGUGGCGAACGGGUGAGUAAUGCAUCGGAACGUGCCCGAUCGUGGGGGAUAACGCAGCGAAAGCUGCGCUAAUACCGCAUACGAUCUGAGGAUGAAAGCGGGGGACCGUAAGGCCUCGCGCGAUCAGAGCGGCCGAUGUCAGAUUAGGUAGUUGGUGGGGGAAAGGCUCACCAAGCCGACGAUCUGUAGCUGGUCUGAGAGGACGACCAGCCACACUGGGACUGAGACACGGCCCAGACUCCUACGGGAGGCAGCAGUGGGGAAUUUUGGACAAUGGGCGAAAGCCUGAUCCAGCAAUGCCGCGUGCAGGAAGAAGGCCUUCGGGUUGUAAACUGCUUUUGUACGGAGCGAAAAGGCUCUCUCUAAUACAGGGGGCUCAUGACGGUACCGUAAGAAUAAGCACCGGCUAACUACGUGCCAGCCGCCGCGGUAA